rnacentral:rRNA from 1 species
GAUGAACGCUGGCGGCGUGCUUAACACAUGCAAGUCGAACGGAAAGGCUCCUGCUUGCAGGGGUACUCGAGUGGCGAACGGGUGAGUAACACGUGGGUGAUCUGCCCUGCACUUCGGGAUAAGCCUGGGAAACUGGGUCUAAUACCGGAUAGGACGAUGGUUUGGAUGCCAUUGUGGAAAGUUUUUCGGUGUGGGAUGAGCUCGCGGCCUAUCAGCUUGUUGGUGGGGUAAUGGCCUACCAAGGCGUCGACGGGUAGCCGGCCUGAGAGGGUGUACGGCCACAUUGGGACUGAGAUACGGCCCAGACUCCUACGGGAGGCAGCAGUGGGGAAUAUUGCACAAUGGGCGCAAGCCUGAUGCAGCGACGCCGCGUGGGGGAUGACGGCCUUCGGGUUGUAAACUCCUCUCGCUAGGGACGAAGCGCAAGUGACGGUACCUGGAGAAGAAGCACCGGCUAACUACGUG